CAGUAGCCGCGGUAAUACGAAGGGUGCAAGCGUUAAUCGGAAUUACUGGGCGUAAAGCGUGCGUAGGCGGUUUGUUAAGUCUGCUGUGAAAUCCCCGGGCUCAACCUGGGAAUGGCAGUGGAUACUGGCAAGCUAGAGUGUGUCAGAGGAUGGUGGAAUUCCCGGUGUAGCGGUGAAAUGCGUAGAGAUCGGAAGGAACAUCUGUGGCGAAGGCGACUAUCUGGGCCAACACUGACACUGAGGCACGAAAGCGUGGGGAGCAAACAGGAUUAGAUACCCGUGUAGUCCCUGUCUCUUAUAC
rnacentral:rRNA from 1 species